GUUUAUCUAGUGGAAUAGAAAGGUGAUACAGCUUGUGAAAGGUUCACUUAGUAAAUGAGUUUUUAUAUCAUUUUCAGUUUUUAUCUUUUCUCAUUUUCACUAAGAGAGAGAGAGAGAGAGAGAGAGGAAUUGGUUGAUAACGGCGUCACAGAUGAAAAUUGGUAGGUUUCUCUCAUGGCCAAUCAAUACUUAGAUAGUAAAAUUUAGAGUUUUAAUUUAUUUAACUAACCCUGAAAUACCCCUAUAUAUUAUUUAUGUGAUCAAAAAU
rnacentral:lncRNA from 1 species